rnacentral:misc_RNA from 1 species
GGGGAAUGGUAUGAAUGAUGAGAUCUUCAAAAACUGUGAAAAUUUUCGGAACCCCAAUGGAAGCCAGUGGGGCGAGCUGAAAGGAAAGCCAUAAAUCGAACAUUCCAGGUCCAUCGGCGGCUAAUUUUGAAUCAGGAGUUCCAUCGGAGAGUAGACGGAAAAUGUAAUCAAACGACAUGGAAUCACUAAUCGGGUUGAAAUCGGCGAAUUUCUUCUUCUCCGCGAGUUUAUCUUCAAGCUUAACGAACAUCUCAGACAAGGAGCUUCGAAACAGAGGGAUGAACCUGUCA